rnacentral:lncRNA from 1 species
CGCGGCCCCUGUAAAGCGCGGCCUGAUUGGCCCUUUGAACCGGGCGUGGGAUUGGCCGUCGCCUGCCCACCCCGCGGCUGCAGCGUUCCCUGGGGCCUAGCCAACCGCGGGCAGGGCUGGGCAAGGCGGGAGGAGCGCGGACCCAAGAUCGGCUACGCUGCGUCUGCUCAGGCUGCGAGUUCCCGGCUCUGGGGACUCACCUUGCGGAGCUUACCCAGGCGGACUCUCCGCAGCCCCUGAUGGAAAUUUUCUAAUCCCGUGGCGAACCCCCGUACUUCAACAAAAGAAAACUGAGAUCCAGGAAAGGGAAGUGAUUUUCCAAAGACACACCUGUGAAAGCCGUGUUGAACCAUGAAAGGACCUCAGGAAUGAAACCCACACACAGCAAAGCAACAAAGUGAAAGAAGCGUGGAUUCCUAAUGCAGGAGGCACUGAACCAAUCAAUACCCACUGCCCUCCAGACCUCCACAUGAAAGAAAAAAACUGCUGUCCUGUGAAGAAGACACUCCCCAGAUGCCAGCAACUUGAUAUUGGACUUCCUGCCUUUAGAAACGUGAGAAAUAAAUUUUUUUUCUUUAUAAGUUACCCAGCCUCUGGCAUUCUGUUAUAGCAGCACAGAACAGACUAAGACAGCCACUGAAACCAGAUCUAUGUCCCGGACCACCCUCAUUUGCCUCAAUUUCUCUCUAUAUAUAAUAAGAACAAAUAAUGCAAAUGCUAUCUAUACUUCCCCGUGACUACAGGGAGACUAAGGGAUGAAAUAUAUAAUCACACUUUGAAAAUAUAUAAAUGUUAUCCAACCAUACAUCCAUUGUUUCACAUCAGGCUGGGCCACAUAGCUUCCUCUGUACCCUUUAGUUUCCUGCCCUUAUCUCUAUCACAGGCCAUAUAUCAAAUGCCUAGUAAUUAUCAGUGCAUCUAUAUAUUCCCUAUUCUCCCCAACAAUACAUAAAAGGUUAUUGCAUUGCAUUGAAUUAUAAGACUUGAUUACUGGAAAGUCUAGACAUCACUCAGGGUCAUUGUGGGG